UUGGUGUAGUUGUGUGUUUUUAGACUGCAUAGAGACGUUUCAUGUCAGAAAAAAAACUUUUUAACACAACAAUUUUGUAUUUUGCGUUGGAUAAUGACAUGAGUCAAAACUAAAAAUGUCGCAAAUAUUAUGUCUUCAACUUUUCUAGCAAUUUUUUCAUAGUUUCAUUUUUAAACAACGCUUUUAUAGUAUUUUUACAAGACAAAUGUCGUUUCAAUAUGUAAGGAUUUACUAUGGGCCGUGUGAUUCGUUCCACUCCGCUAUUCACAAGCCCCAGAAGCUGAGAGGACUCAGAGAUAUUCCGCUGCAACAUCAAGAACCUGUGUUUCAACAUGUCACCCGAGAUGGACCCGGUGUGUCGACGCGCUGUGGCUGCCGUGUUGGACUCCUCAAGCAAGCUGCUCCGGGCGCGGAACUACCUCUGGUUCCUGGCGCUCCUCGACGACCAGAUGUUCAGACGGACCACGCACGCGCUCAAAGACUAUUGGCCUUUUGAUUAUGACGAUGAUUUUAAUAUAAAAAAAGUUUAUUAAAGGUUUUUUAAUAUUUU